rnacentral:rRNA from 1 species
GACGAACGCUGGCGGCGUGCUUAACACAUGCAAGUCGAACGGAAAGGCCCUGCUUUUGUGGGGUGCUCGAGUGGCGAACGGGUGAGUAACACGUGAGUAACCUGCCCUUGACUUUGGGAUAACUUCAGGAAACUGGGGCUAAUACCGGAUAGGAGCUCCUGCUGCAUGGUGGGGGUUGGAAAGUUUCGGCGGUUGGGGAUGGACUCGCGGCUUAUCAGCUUGUUGGUGGGGUAGUGGCUUACCAAGGCUUUGACGGGUAGCCGGCCUGAGAGGGUGACCGGCCACAUUGGGACUGAGAGACGGCCCAGACUCCUAGGGGAGGCAGCAGUGGGGAAUAUUGCACAAUGGGCGGAAGCCUGAUGCAGCAACGCCGCGUGCGGGAUGACGGCCUUCGGGUUGUAAACCGCUUUCGCCUGUGACGAAGCGUGAGUGACGGUAAUGGGUAAAGAAGCACCGGCUAACUACGUG